rnacentral:rRNA from 1 species
GGCUCAGGACGAACGCUGGUGGCGUGCUUAACACAUGCAAGUCGAACGGUGAUGCCCAGCUUGCUGGGUGGAUCAGUGGCGAACGGGUGAGUAACACGUGAGCAACCUGCCCCUCACUUCGGGAUAAGCCUUGGAAACGAGGUCUAAUACCGGAUACGAGCGCCUGCCGCAUGGUGGGUGUUGGAAAGUUUUUCGGUGGGGGAUGGGCUCGCGGCCUAUCAGCUUGUUGGUGGGGUAAUGGCCUACCAAGGCGUCGACGGGUAGCCGGCCUGAGAGGGCGACCGGCCACACUGGGACUGAGACACGGCCCAGACUCCUACGGGAGGCAGCAGUGGGGAAUAUUGCACAAUGGGCGAAAGCCUGAUGCAGCGACGCCACGUGAGGGAUGACGGCCUUCGGGUUGUAAACCUCUUUCAGCAGGGAAGAAGCGAAA